rnacentral:misc_RNA from 1 species
CACAGUCGCGGGCGGCGGUGCUGCAGAGUGGGUGGGUGAGUAUGGGGAGAGGUGGGGCUGGUGGAGCGAGGGUUCAUUUGGUGGUGAGGACGGAGCCGGACCCGAGGUUUGUGUUUCAGUUUGGAGGUGAGCCGGAGUGUAGCCCGGUGGUGUACCAAGUGCAGGGGACCGCCGGCUGCGGCGGCGGUGGGCGGAGUGGGUGUCUCCGCCAGCCUGUGUUUAGCUGUCGGUUUUCGGCUGACCGCCGCCAGAGCAACAGAUCCAGAUCACUUCCCUCCGGGCACUCCAACCCCUUCACCAUCCGCAGCCUCCUCAGCGCCUUCGGCAGCGAACGCUCCUCCCUCCACCGCCACGACCAGCGCAAGGGCUGGACCGUCACCAUCCACGACCUCUCCGGCUCUCCUGUCGCCGCCGCUUCCAUGGUCACCCCCUUCGUCCCCUCCCCCAACUCCGACCGUGUCUCCCGCUCCAACCCCGGGGCCUGGCUCAUCCUCCACCCCGCCAACUGCACCCCCUGGGCCCGUCUUCAGGCCUGGCGCGAACGCGGCCCAGCUCACGCCCUCGGCUACCGAUUCGAACUCGUCACCGACUCAGGGCCCCACCUCAUCGCUGAGUCCUCCAUCAGCGUCCGAAAAGGC